UACCUGGUUGAUUCUGCCAAG
rnacentral:rRNA from 1 species